UCCGUAGGUGGCGAUCGUUGUCCGGAAUUACUGGGUGUAAAGGGCGUGUAGGCGGGGCGGCAAGUCAGAUGUGAAAUUCCGGGGCUUAACCCCGGCGCUGCAUCUGAAACUGUCGUUCUUGAGUGUCGGAGAGGAAAGUGGAAUUCCCAGUGUAGCGGUGAAAUGCGUAGAGAUUGGGAGGAACACCAGUGGCGAAGGCGGCUUUCUGGACGAUAACUGACGCUGAGGCGCGAAAGCGUGGGGAGAAAACAGG
rnacentral:rRNA from 1 species